GAUGAACGCUAGCGGCAGGCUUAAUACAUGCAAGUCGAGGGACAGCACAGGUAGCAAUACUGGGUGGUAACCGGCAAACGGGUGCGGAACACGUACACAACCUUCCUUUAAGUGGGGGAUAGCCCAGAGAAAUUUGGAUUAAUACCCCGUAAUAUAGUUGAAUGGCAUCAUUUGAUUAUUAUAGCUACGGCGCUUAAUGAUGGGUGUGCGGCUGAUUAGAUAGUUGGCGGGGUAACGGCCCACCAAGUCUACGAUCAGUAGCUGAUGUGAGGGCAUGAUCAGCCAGACGGGCACUGAGACACGGGCCCGACUCCUACGGGAGGCAGCAGUAAUGAAUAUUGGUCAAUGGACGCAAGUCUGAACCAGCCAUGCCGCGUGAAGGAUUAAGGUCCUCUGGAUUGUAAACUUCUUUUAUUUGGGACGAAAAAGGGCCUUUCUAGGUCAACUGACGGUACCAGAUGAAUAAGCACCGGCUAACUCCGUGCCAGCCGCCGCCGUAAUAC
rnacentral:rRNA from 1 species